GGGGGCGAAAGGAUUCGACGGGGUUCUUUGGAAUGAAGGUUGCAUGCCGGGCUGCCACAAUCCCGUAAAAAGGUGGCAAGAAAUAACUGGCGAAUAUAACUUCGCAUUGGCUGCUUAAUGCAGUCACGUCCACCCCAUAAACCCCGCUCCCGGUUUUGGGGAUGGGCGUGGAUAAAGGGAGCUGGUCUUCCUUGCCUGCCCUGGUAGGGAAGACGAGAUAUCACGGGCUUUGGCAGGGACAACUCGGUUACGGGAGGUAUCCCUGUCGAGAUAAAAACCGUGACUAAGCAUGUAGAUACCCUCAUAGCCGGUUCUCCGGACGCGGGUUCGAUUCCCGCCGCCUCCACCA
rnacentral:tmRNA from 1 species